GUUUAGAAUGUAAGGCUUGUUUAGAAUGCAAGGCCUCCUCAAUUCUCCACCCUUCCGCUCUUAACAUCUUGCUCUUCUUCCCUUCAUCUAUCGUGUUAGUUAGGUGCAUGCUGGUCUUCCCUCUAUCAAACUUAAAAUAGGAAUAAGAAUUGGACCUACCUCAAGAUCUGUUGAGAAGAUUAUGAGAGAGCUGAUGGAUCUAAAAGAUUGGCGCUUGGUAAUGACUGUCAAUUCUAUUACUUCUGUGUGUAAUUCAUCACCUAUUCUUGUUCAUCACUUGUGAAAAUUGUAACCCCUUUCUGUACUGAGUAAAAUGGAAACCUGUGUCUGCUCCUAGA